GACGAACGCUGGCGGCGUGCUUAACACAUGCAAGUCGAACGGAAAGGCCCUGCUUUUGUGGGGUGCUCGAGUGGCGAACGGGUGAGUAACACGUGAGUAACCUGCCCUUGACUUUCGGAUAACUUCAGGAAACUGGGGCUAAUACCGGAUAGGAGCUCCUGCUGCAUGGUGGUGGUUGGAAAGUUUCGGCGGUUGGGGAUGGACUCGCGGCUUAUCAGCUUGUUGGUGGGGUAGUGGCUUACCAAGGCUUUGACGGGUAGCCGGCCUGAGAGGGUGACCGGCCACAUUGGGACUGAGAUACGGCCCAGACUCCUACGGGAGGCAGCAGUGGGGAAUAUUGCACAAUGGGCGGAAGCCUGAUGCAGCAACGCCGCGUGCGGGAUGACGGCCUUCGGGUUGUAAACCGCUUUCGCCUGUGACGAAGCGUGAGUGACGGUAAUGGGUAAAGAAGCACCGGCUAACUACGUG
rnacentral:rRNA from 1 species